AUGUGCUUAUUUCUCCAUCCCUUUGCACUGGCAUGGGGUGGUAGCAUUGUUUACUGGAUGAUUACCAAUGGAGUCAUUUCGGCUAAGAAAAUCUGCGGGGCUGGAGGCGGCAUUCGGGGUUGGAGAUGGCAUGAGAAGCAGAGCUCCUUGUGCCACUCUCUCUACAAAGGUCGCCGCUGGAGCGGGACAAGAUCAUGGCUUGCCUUACAUGGUGACGUACCGACUAGGAAGAGUGCAAGCUGCCGCCCACAUGUACCAGAUGGUGCCGUCAAGGACAUUGUCGUACUGACUGCCGAUGAUCUACAGAAAGUUGUUGCUUCCCCUGGCCGUGGGAUCCUUGCGAUCGACGAGUUGAGUGCAACAUGUGGAAAGAGAUUGGCAUCCAUUGGUUUGGACAACAUGGAAGUUAACCGCCAGGCUUACAGUCCACUACAGAUGGCAAGACCUUUGUUGGCAUCUUGA
rnacentral:rRNA from 1 species